rfam:Candidatus Roizmanbacteria bacterium RIFCSPLOWO2_01_FTLL_37_16 rifcsplowo2_01_scaffold_3322, whole genome shotgun sequence.
AGAUGGGAGAAAUAAAGCUAAUGGUGGAUGCCUAGGUAACUUAAGCCGAAGAAGGACGCGUGAAUGAGCGCGAUAACAACGGUGAGUCCUCUAUCAGACGAUAUCAACCGUUGGUUUCCGAAUGGGGCAACCCGAUCCUGCGUAAGUAGGAUGAUACUACGCUUCGCGUAGUAAGGAGACCUAAUGAACUGAAACAUCUCAGUAACUAGAGGAAAAGAAAACAAUAGUGAUUUCGUUAGUAGCGGCGAGCGAAAGCGAAAUAGCCCAAAGUCUGGAGUAAUCCAGGCAGUUGCAGGGCCCGCCACAACAGGAUCAGUUAAGAAUAGAAGAAUAUCUUGGAAAAGAUAGCCAUAGAGGGUGAUAGCCCUGUAUUCUAAAUUCGAGACUGCUUGGGUGGGUACCUAAGUACCACGAGUCACGGCAAACCUUGUGGGAAUCUGGGUCGGUCACGAUCCAAGGCUAAAUACUUAAGUUGACCGAUAGUGAACAAGUACCGUGAGGGAAAGGUGAAAAGUCCCCCGAAAGGGGAGUGAAAUAGAACCUGAAAUCAUUAGCUAACAAACAGACAGAGCUUGUGCGUAGCACAAGGCAGUUUAGAAAGUUCUUAAAGUGAAAAGUUUGUAAAGAUAUGUUGUAUUAAAGCAAUUAUCUUUAUUAAAUUUAAAAACCUUAUAACUUUGUAACUUCCUCGUGCUGCGCGCGAGUAAUGUCGUGCCUAUUGAAGAAUGAGCCAGCGAGUCUCCGAUAAGAACUUCGUUUAAUCCCUUUUUGGGAAAAGGCAAAGCGAAAGCGAGUCUUAAUAGGGCGAAUUUUAGUUCUAUCGAAGGACCCGAAACUGGGUGAGCUAACCAUGAACAGGGUGAACUCCGCCUACAGGCGGAGGGAGGCCCGAACCCGUUGUCGGUGAAAUGGCAUGGGAAGAUUUGUGGUUAGGGGUAAUAUGCCUAUCGAACCCAGAGAUAGCUGGUUCUCCCCGAAAUAUAUUUUGGUAUAGCCCUCGACUUUAUUUAUGAAGGGGUAGAGCUACUGGAUGGUUAUGAGAGCGUAAGCGAUCACAAUCAACCAAACUCCAAAUACUUUGUAAAAAUAGCGAGGAGUCAGUCUCGCCGGGAUAAGCCGGUGUAGGCAAAAGAGAAACAUCUCAGAUUUCCGUCUAAGGUUCCUAAAUGAUUUUUAAGUGGUUAAGGCCGUUGGUUGUCCAACACAGUAGGAAGGUUGGCUCAGAAGCAGCCAUCCUUUAAAGAGUGCGUAACAGCUCACCUAAAUAUUCUACGCCAAUGGCGUAGGGAUAAUCUGCGCCGAAAAUGAUCGGAGCUAAAAAUCUGCCGAAGACGAAAAUCUUGUGCUUCGCACAAGGGUUUAAGGUUAAUUACUUUUUGGUCAUAAUUGACUAAAAAUAAUCACAACUUUACUCUUGUGUGAAGCACAAGGUGGUAGGGGAGCGCCCGCCAGGCAGUGAAGCAAAAUUGCAAGAUUUUGUGGAGCGUGGCGGGGUGAGAAUGCUGGCAUAAGUAGUGUAUCUCCCGAUGAAAACUCGGGAUGCCGAAAAUCCAAGGUUUCCUCAGCAAUGUCAAUCAACUGAGGGUUAGUCGGAUCUAAGGGAGUCCUGUUUGGUACUUCCGAUGUUCAAACAGUUAAUAUUCUGUUACUUUAACACUCUUGUUAUUACUUAAAAAUUGACGAAAUUUGAUACUCUGUCCCUUCUAUAUGGGGGGUUAAGUUAUAAACUGUAUCGUAAGAUGCAGCAAGUAACAAAUACAACCCUGACGUAAUGUCGGGGGAGAUAGAGGACUUAAGUUCCCAAGAAAAGAUUUUUAAGGAAAGAGUGUUGAAUCCGUACCGAUAACCGACACAGGUGGAUUGGUGUAGAACACUAAGGCAUACGGGUAAUGAUGAUUCAAGGAACUCGGCAAAAAAGCUGGACGUAAGCUUUGCGAUAUGUCCUGUCCCGCCUCUGGCGGGAUUGCAACAAAUGUUUGUCAACCGACUGUUUAGCAAAAACACAGGUUCCUGCUAACCCUAAAAGGGGAUGUAUAGGAGCUGAAACCUGUCCAGUACUGGUAAGUUAAUCAUUUCGGGUGAUUCCGACGAGCAAUCUUCGGAAAAGCUUGAGAUGCAAGCUCCAGUGAACGACAGCUCUAACCCUGAGAGUUCUAAGGUAGCGUAACCCCUUGCCGGGUAAGUUCCGGCCCGCAUGAAAGGUCUAACGAGUUGACAACUGUCUUGAAUCACUGCCCGACGAAUUUGAAAUGGCUGUGAAGAUGCGGCCUACCUACACCUGGACAAGAAGACCCCGGGAGCUUAACUGAAACUAGGCAUUGGUGGGAAGAAAUAAAUUGUUGAGCGUAGGAGGGAGUCCCGAGUUUAUCGGGACAACGAUGAAACACCUCUCUCUUGUUUUUUUUCACCUUAUCCCGCUUAGCGGGAGACAGUACUUGGUGGUCAGUUUAACUGGGGCGGUUUCCUCCAAAAGAGUAACGGAGGAGCGCAAAGGUCAGCUAGCUGCGCAUAGAAAUCGCAGUGUUAGUGCAAACGCAUAAGCUGGCUUAACUGUGAGGCAUACAAGCCGAUCAGAUGCGAAAGCAGGCGUUAGUGAUCCUCGAUCCCGAUGUGAUAUCGGGACGGGCUUAACGGAUAAAAGCUACCCCGGGGAUAACAGGCUGGUCGCCUCCGAGAGUUCAUAUCGACGAGGCGGUUCGGCACCUCGAUGUCGGCUCACCGCAUCCUGGGGCUGAAGUCGGUCCCAAUGGUCGGGCUGUUCGCCCGUUAAAGCGGUACGCGAGCUGGGUUCAGAACGUCGUGAGACAGUUCGGACUCUAUCCGGUGUAGGCGCAUGGAAUUUUGAGGAGGGACUCCUACAGUACGAGAGGACCUAGGAUGUGGAGAUCCCUGGUGUACCGGUUAUCUUAUAAGGGUAAUGCCGGGUAGCUAUAUCUCUAUUCGAUAAACACUGAAUGCAUAUCAAGUGUGAAGCGAGCUCCAAGAUAAGAAUUCCUUUUAGCUUUCCUGAAGAUUACAGGAUUAAUAGACGUCAGGUGUAAGUUCUGUAAAGAAUUUAGCCAAGACGUACUAAGUAGCAAUCUCCCAUCUUU